rnacentral:tRNA from 2 species
UCCCGGUUAGCUCAAUUGGUCAGAGCGUCGGACUUUUAGCUAUAGGUUCUCCGCGAGCCUUGCUGAUGAUAUCCGAAGGCUGCGAGUUCGACCCUCGCAUCGGGAG